AGUGAACGCUGGCGGUAGGCCUAACACAUGCAAGUCGAACGGCAGCACAGUAAGAGCUUGCUCUUACGGGUGGCGAGUGGCGGACGGGUGAGGAAUACAUCGGAAUCUACUUUUUCGUGGGGGAUAAUGUAGGGAAACUUACGCUAAUACCGCAUACGACCUACGGGUGAAAGCAGGGGAUCUUCGGACCUUGCGCGAUUGAAUGAGCCGAUGUCGGAUUAGCUAGUUGGCGGGGUAAAGGCCCACCAAGGCGACGAUCCGUAGCUGGUCUGAGAGGAUGAUCAGCCACACUGGAACUGAGACACGGUCCAGACUCCUACGGGAGGCGGCAGUGGGGAAUAUUGGACAAUGGGCGCAAGCCUGAUCCAGCCAUACCGCGUGAGUGAAGAAGGCCUUCGGGUUGUAAAGCCCUUUUGCUGGGAAAGAAAAGCAGCAGGUUAAUACCCCGCUGUUCUGACGGUACCCAAAGAAUAAGCACCGGCUAACUUCGUG
rnacentral:rRNA from 1 species